AGUGGGUUUGCGCGGAGGCUCCAGUGAUCAGGCGGCAGCAGCGGAGCUCUGUGGCCGCUCUCCUCACUCCACGAUUGGACGGAGCGAGUCACGUUGUCCGUGGAGCUGUCAGUGUGCUGCUGCUGCACCAUUGUUCCCCUCCCAGCAGCCGGAAGAGUUGCCUGUGAAAGCGAAUGUGAUGUGCGUCAGUUGUGCCGGUUGGCCCCAGGACCCAGUUCACGCUCCACAGGAACCCGGUACCGGGCUUUAAAUGGUCUCACACACACGCUGGGUGCAGGAUUUUCGCAGGAGAGGAAGACGGUGACAUGGUUCAGAGAAGGAGACUGUGAGGUCCAUCGAAAGAGAGAGAGAGGGGCGUCAGUGACUGGCUGGAUGAGAGCAACAGAAAUGAAUGAACGGACGUGGGUCCCUGCAGUAUAAAUAUAUUUAAUUGAAGGUGCAGAUGCAGCAGGCCAUGAGCGGAAUACUGAAGAGGAAAUUUGAGGAGGUGGAGGCCACCUCCUCCCCGUGCUCUUCCCUGCGGGAGUCUGAUGAUGAGGUCUCCUGCAGCGAGAGUGGAGAUAGCAGUGACAGUGUCAACCCCUCAGCCUCCGGCCC